rnacentral:rRNA from 1 species
AUGAACGCUGGCGGCGUGCCUAAUACCUGCAAGUCGAGCGAACGGACGAGAAGCUUGCUUCUCUGAUGUUAGCGGCGGACGGGUGAGUAACACGUGGAUAACCUACCUAUAAGACUGGGAUAACUUCGGGAAACCGGAGCUAAUACCGGAUGAUAUUUUGAACCGCAUGGUUCAAAAGUGAAAGACGGUCUUGCUGUCACUUAUAGAUGGAUCCGCGCUGCAUUAGCUAGUUGGUAAGGUAACGGCUUACCAAGGCAACGAUGCAUAGCCGACCUGAGAGGGUGAUCGGCCACACUGGAACUGAGACACGGUCCAGACUCCUACGGGAGGCAGCAGUAGGGAAUCUUCCGCAAUGGGCGAAAGCCUGACGGAGCAACGCCGCGUGAGUGAUGAAGGUCUUCGGAUCGUAAAACUCUGUUAUUAGGGAAGAACAUAUGUGUAAGUAACUGUGCACAUCUUGACGGUACCUAAUCAGAAAGCCACGGCUAACUACGU